rnacentral:rRNA from 1 species
UGGUUUUAGGCAUCCAAGUCGAACGAUCUCGCAAGAGAUAGUGGCGGAAGGGUUAGUAACACGUGGGUAAUCUACCCCCGAGUCGGGGAUAACAUUUCGAAAGAAGUGCUAAUACCCGAUGACAUUUUUGGAUCGCAUGAUCUGAAAAUCAAAGGUGGCUCGCAAGGGCUGCCGAUCGAGGAGGAGCCCGCGGCCUAUCAGCUAGUUGGUGAGGUAACGGCCCACCAAGGCAUUUGACGGGUAGCUGGUCUAAGAGGACGAUCAGCAACAUUGGGACUGAGACACUGCCCAGACUCCUACGGGAGGCUGCAGUCGAGGAUCUUUAGCAAUGCCCGAAAGGGUGACUAUGCGACGCCGCGUGCAGGAUGAAGGCCUUCGGGUCGUAAACUGC